AGCCAUUCUAUUAUUCAAUGGUAUCUCACCUGACCCUCCCCCUCCCAUGCAUUACAACAUUGGGUUGCUAGCACCAGUCCUACCUUGCGUAUAGGAUCCAAGCAGCACAGCUGGGCUGGAGGAGGGCUGUGCUGUGCCGUGCUGUGCCACUGACUCCAGGUGCAGUCAAGGUCUUGCAGUGCUGGAAAAGAGAAAGGUGCUGCUCUUCGAGCAGAGGUGUUGAUGUGCACACACACUUCCGUUCCCAAAAGCUCAAGCCAUCCACCAGCACCAGGUACCGGUUAUGUGGGAGCCAUCAGCUCCAGCCAGGACCUGAAGGCAGAGACUAGGGCUUGGCAGCUGUGGCCGGCGGGAAAGGUGAGCCUGGAGCUGUGCUGCCUGGAGAACUCAGCUUCCUCCUGGGAGGAGCGGGGCUUGCGGGGGCCGCUGCUCACCCUGGUGCACCUGGCGGGAGGAGGUGAUUGAUUCCUCGUCUGGAAGGGCACAGCAAUGUGAGCAGACAGGACAGAGCUCUCUGGCUGUCCAUGCGCCCUUGGUGCAAGGCCCUGAGCCAGGCUGUGCUCACUCCAUCCUGCUGUCUGGUCAAAGGCUGGGAGAUGGAAAUAGAGCUGUGUUCUUCAUGUUCCUCGGGUAACCAAAGCGAUCUCUUUUAGAAUCUCAUUUGCAGCUUCUAUUUUUUUUUUAUUUAUAAAGCUUAGUUUA
rnacentral:lncRNA from 1 species